rnacentral:rRNA from 1 species
CCUACGGGAGGCAGCAGUAGGGAAUAUUGCACAAUGGGGGAAACCCUGAAGCAGCAACGCCGCGUGGAGGAUGAAGGUUUUAGGAUUGUAAACUCCUUUUGUUAGAGAAGAUUAUGACGGUAUCUAACGAAUAAGCACCGGCUAACUCCGUGCCAGCAGCCGCGGUAAUACGGAGGGUGCAAGCGUUACUCGGAAUCACUGGGCGUAAAGAGUGCGGAGGCGGGGUAAUAAGUCAGAUGUGAAAUCCCGUAGCUUAACUACAGAACUGCAUUUGAAACUGUUACUCUGGAGUGUGGUAGAGGUAGGUGGAAUUCUUGGUGUAGGGGUAAAAUCCGUAGAGAUCAAGAGGAAUACUCAUGGCGAAGGCGACUUUCUGGACAGUAACUGACGUUGAGGUACGAAAGUGUGGGGAGCAAACAGGAUUAGAUACCCGGGUAGUC